GAUGAACGCUGGCGGCGUGCCUAAUACAUGCAAGUCGAGCGAACGGACGAGAAGCUUGCUUUUCUGAUGUUAGCGGCGGACGGGUGAGUAACACGUGGAUAACCUACCUAUAAGACUGGGAUAACUUCGGGAAACCGGAGCUAAUACCGGAUAAUAUUUUGAACCGCAUGGUUCAAAAGUGAAAGACGGUCUUGCUGUCACUUAUAGAUGGAUCCGCGCUGCAUUAGCUAGUUGGUAAGGUAACGGCUUACCAAGGCAACGAUGCAUAGCCGACCUGAGAGGGUGAUCGGCCACACUGGAACUGAGACACGGUCCAGACUCCUACGGGAGGCAGCAGUAGGGAAUCUUCCACAAUGGGCGAAAGCCUGACGGAGCAACGCCGCGUGAGUGAUGAAGGUCUUCGGAUCGUAAAACUCUGUUAUUAGGGAAGAACAUAUGUGUAAGUAACUGUGCACAUCUUGACGGUACCUAACCAGAAAGCCACGGCUAACUACGUG
rnacentral:rRNA from 1 species